rnacentral:ncRNA from 2 species
UUAAAGAACUAGGGGUGCCGGAUAGACCGGCUGAGAUAAAGAUGCAUUUCUUUAACCCUCAACCUGAUCUGGAUAAUGCCAGCGUAGGGAAGUUUGGGCGAUGAUGU